UACGAAGGGGGCUAGCGUUGUUCGGAUUUACUGGGCGUAAAGCGCACGUAGGCGGAUUGUUAAGUCAGGGGUGAAAUCCUGGAGCUCAACUCCAGAACUGCCUUUGAUACUGGCAAUCUAGAGUCCGGAAGAGGUGAGUGGAACUCCGAGUGUAGAGGUGAAAUUCGUAGAUAUUCGGAAGAACACCAGUGGCGAAGGCGGCUCACUGGCCCGGUACUGACGCUGAGGUGCGAAAGCGUGGGGAGCAAACAGG
rnacentral:rRNA from 1 species